GGAUAGCUCAAUCGGUAGAGCACGGGACUCUUAACCUCAGGGUCGUGGGUUUGAGCCCCUCGUUCUGCA